rnacentral:tRNA from 1 species
GGUCUCGUAGCUCAACGGAUAGAGCGCUUCCCUCCGAAGGAAGAGGCCGCUGGUUCAAAUCCAGCUGGGGCCA